rnacentral:rRNA from 1 species
UUAUCGGGAUUACUGGGGCGUAAGCGCACGCAGGCGGUCUGUUAAGUCAGAUGUGAAAUCCCCGGGCUUAACCUGGGAACUGCAUUUGAAACUGGCAGGCUUGAGUCUCGUAGAGGGGGGUAGAAUUCCAGGUGUAGCGGUGAAAUGCGUAGAGAUCUGGAGGAAUACCGGUGGCGAAGGCGGCCCCCUGGACGAAGACUGACGCUCAGGUGCGAAAGCGUGGGGAGCAAACAGGAUUAGAUACCCUGGUAGUCCACGCCGUAAACGAUGUCGACUUGGAGGUUGUGCCCUUGAGGCGUGGCUUCCGGAGCUAACGCGUUAAGUCGACCGCCUGGGGAGUACGGCCGCAAGGUUAAAACUCAAAUGAAUUGACGGGGGCCCGCACAAGCGGUGGAGCAUGUGGUUUAAUUCGAUGCAACGCGAAGAACCUUACCUGGCCUUGACAUCCAGAGAACUUAGCAGAGAUGCUUUGGUGCCUUCGGGAACUCUGAGACAGGUGCUGCAUGGCUGUCGUCAGCUCGUGUUGUGAAAUGUUGGGUUAAGUCCCGCAACGAGCGCAACCCUUAUCCUUUGUUGCCAGC